rnacentral:rRNA from 1 species
AUUGAACGCUGGCGGCAGGCCUAACACAUGCAAGUCGAGCGGAGAGGGGGACGGGGGAGUAAUGCCUAGGAAUCUGCCUGGGAGUGGGGGAUAACGUCCGGAAACGGGCGCUAAUACCGCAUACUAUCAGAUGAGGCUAGGUCGGAUUAGCUAGUUGGUGGGGUAAAGGCUCACCAAGGCGACGAGCCGUAUCUGGGCUGAGAGGAUGAGCAGUCACACUGGAACUGAGACACGGUCCAGACUCCUACGGGAGGCAGCAGUGGGGAAUAUUGGACAAUGGGCGAAAGCCUGAUCCAGCCAUGCUGCGUGUGUGAAGAAGGUCUUCGGGUUGUAAAGCACUUUCAGUUGGGAGGCGUUACCAACAGAAUAAGCACCGGCUAACUUCGUGCCAGCAGCCGCGGUAAUAC